UACGAACCUUGCUAGCGUUAUUCGGAAUUACUGGGCUUAAAGGGUGCGUAGGCGGUGCAGCAAGUUGGGUGUGAAAGCCCUCGGCUCAACCGAGGAAUUGCGCCCAAAACUGCUGCACUAGAGGAAGACAGAGGUACGCGGAACUUAGGGUGGAGCGGUGAAAUGCGUUGAUAUCCUAAGGAACACCGGUGGGGAAAGCGGCGUACUGGGGCUUAUCUGACGCUGAGGCACGAAAGCUAGGGGAGCGAACGGG
rnacentral:rRNA from 1 species